rnacentral:rRNA from 1 species
AGAGCGAACGCUGGCGGCAGGCCUAACACAUGCAAGUCGAGCGCCCGUAGCAAUACGGGAGCGGCAGACGGGAUAGUAACACGUGGGAACGCGCCCUUCGGUUCGGAAUAACUCAGGGAAACUUGAGCUAAUACCGGAUACGCCCUUACGGGGAAAGAUUUAUUGCCGAAGGAACGGCCCGCGUCCGAUUAGCUAGUUGGUGAGGUAAUGGCUCACCAAGGCGACGAUCGGUAGCUGGUCUGAGAGGAUGACCAGCAUCACUGGGACUGAGACACGGCCCAGACUCCUACGGGAGGCAGCAGUGGGGAAUAUUGGACAAUGGGCGCAAGCCUGAUCCAGCCAUGCCGCGUGGAUGAUGAAGGCCUUAGGGUUGUAAAGUCCGUUUUAACGGGAGAUAAUGACGGUACCCGUAGAAUAAGCCCGGCUAACUUCGUGCCAGCAGCCGC